rnacentral:rRNA from 1 species
AGGACGAACGCUGGCGGCGUGCUUAACACAUGCAAGUCGAACGGUGACGUAAGGAGCUUGCUCCUUGCUGAUCAGUGGCGAACGGGUGAGUAACACGUGAGCAAUCUGCCCUUGACUCUGGGAUAACCUCGGGAAACUGAAGCUAAUACCGGAUACGACGCGCGAAGGCAUCUUCUGCGCGUGGAAAGAAUUUCGGUCAAGGAUGAGCUCGCGGCCUAUCAGCUAGUUGGUGAGGUAAUGGCUCACCAAGGCUUCGACGGGUAGCCGGCCUGAGAGGGUGACCGGCCACACUGGGACUGAGACACGGCCCAGACUCCUACGGGAGGCAGCAGUGGGAAUAUUGCACAAUGGGCGCAAGCCUGAUGCAGCAACGCCGCGUGAGGAUGACGGCCUUCGGUGUAACCUCUUUAGUAGGAAGAGACGAAAGUGACGGUACCUGACAAGAAAAAGACAACCGGCUAAACUACGUAGCCAGCAGCCGA